CAGCCGCCGCGGGAAUACGAAGGGGGCUAGCGUUGCUCGGAAUCACUGGGCGUAAAGGGUGCGUAGGCGGGUCUUUAAGUCAGGGGUGAAAUCCUGGAGCUCAACUCCAGAACUGCCUUUGAUACUGAAGAUCUUGAGUUCGGGAGAGGUGAGUGGAACUGCGAGUGUAGAGGUGAAAUUCGUAGAUAUUCGCAAGAACACCAGUGGCGAAGGCGGCUCACUGGCCCGAUACUGACGCUGAGGCACGAAAGCGUGGGGAGCAAACAGGAUUAGAUACCCCAGUAGUCCCUGUCUCUUAUAC
rnacentral:rRNA from 1 species